AUUGAACGCUGGCGGCAGGCCUAACACAUGCUAGUCGAGCGGCAGCGGGAAAGUAGCUUGCUACUUUUGCCGGCGAGCGGCGGACGGGUGAGUAAUGCCUGGGAAAUUGCCCAGUCGAGGGGGGAUAACAGUUGGAAACGACUGCUAAUACCGCAUACGCCCUACGGGGGAAAGCAGGGGACCUUCGGGCCUUGCGCGAGUGGAUAUGCCCAGGUGGGAUUAGCUAGUUGGUGAGGUAAUGGCUCACCAAGGCGACGAUCCCUAGCUGGUCUGAGAGGAUGAUCAGCCACACUGGAACUGAGACACGGUCCAGACUCCUACGGGAGGCAGCAGUGGGGAAUAUUGCACAAUGGGGGAAACCCUGAUGCAGCCAUGCCGCGUGUGUGAAGAAGGCCUUCGGGUUGUAAAGCACUUUCAGCGAGGAGGAAAGGUUGAUGCCCAAUACGUAUCAACUGUGACGUUACUCGCAGAAGAAGCACCGGCUAACUCCGUGCCAGCCGCCGCGGUAACAC
rnacentral:rRNA from 1 species